CCGGAGGCGGGAAGGAUUAGUCAUCCAGUGUUAGCCGUCUCUUCAUGAGGAUGUCAGUGUUUUACCAGCAGAAACCACUUGAAACGCAGAGUUCCGGAUUUAAACCAGAUGACUGUAAGAAAUGAUGGCUUAAAAAGACGACCACUGGGGGAUCCCCAUACCAUCCAGAACACAAUCCUGUCCAACUGCAGCAUCAUGUUUGUCCGUGCUGAAACACAGGCUGCGACAAAGUCCAGGAAGUGAGGGCGGGACUAGCACUCCUCUGUGCUCACUCCUGUCCUAUCAGACUGCAGCAUGAAAACAGAGAGAAGGUUAUAGAGCUUGCAUUGACUGGAUGAAGAGACCCAGCAUAGCACAGCAGACUCAGGGAGGAAGUGAAUGCAUGGUGAAUAAGGGCGGGCUCAGUGCUUGCCUUGGACACGCCCCUUCCAGAGCAGUGGAUGUCAGAAUGAGUGAGCAGCAUGUAAAGAAUCUGCAUGACCCAACUCACCAUCACUAGUCCUACAGCGCCAUAAGAAAAUGCAUCAAAACUGCACAUAAUGUAAACUGACUUCAACCUACUUGAGUCUAAUGGGUGAACGCCAGCAGCUUGAUUAGAGGACCAGGUGCAGUGAUCAAACGCCACACCCUCAGCCAGAGGCUUUAUAGGAAAUGUAGGCAGCAUUAUCAAGUCAGGAAGUAAGAAAAUAUACAUCAAUAUGGCUGAAAACCCCAUGCCUGCCACAUGAGCUAAAACAGAGCCGAGGCAAGUUCUCUCUAUCACCCAAAGUGCAAGAAAAAGUGCAAACGUGUCACACACAAAAAACGUGCACAAAGGAUGCGGUCUGUCGCUAAGCCCUUCUCCAACAGGAGAGAGGCCCCCCAACAAACCUACCCUUCACCUCCGGACCAAAAGGCACCUGCAAGGAUCCAGGUUCGAUGCCCCUUUUCGCCGAAGCUACUAAGGGGCCGCAAAUGCACCUGGCUUCAACCUAGGCGUUAACUAGGGUAUCAGCCAAGGAGCCGUAUACUGCCCAAGAUGCCCAGGGGUUGCAGGGAGGUGAGGAACCGAAUGGCCAUACACACCUCCCCUAGACCACCAGGAGGGGCACCGAGAAGGGCUACCACAUCCUGACAAUCCUGUGUGCAAACAAAACACGAAACGUGGCACAGUGACAUACAAAAAUAAUAAAUAAGUGCAUAUAUACUGCCCGGUCAUCUGGCCGGAUCUAUAAAAAUUUCCCUGAUCCUAGCCAGAAGGCCGGGAUACCAAUGUGCCAAAGGUGAAGAGUAUGGUGCAGUGCGUUCACUCAGUGAGCUAUAACACCCAUUGAGUUUCGGCACCUCAGGGUCACCACUCCCGGAGGCACAGACGUACCUCGGGUCUACACCCCCCAACCUCAUGGCGAGACCUGGAGGAAACAGGUCACAUCGGGGCAGCCGUCAAGCUAAUUCCUCAGAACCAGCCCCAGAAUGCCCUGGUUUUGCCCCCUACCAUGCAGCACCCAUCCCCCCCAGCUCCACACCGGCGUCGCCUGCCAGUCGCCUACAGGCGUAGUACUGAUCAUUAUACUCUAGUGACUCUCACCAAUAAUGUAUAUACAGUGCUGUCACGGCUCCCUAUGUCCUGGUGACCCAGUGUAUGAGGGUAUGUUCGCACUACGGACUAUGAACGGAAUCUCUGCUUGCAGAAUUCCACGAGCGGAGAUUCCAUUCUGGCGUCGGCCGCCGCAAUACUUCGGCACUGCGCCAUCACCAUUGACGGCUAUGCAGUGUUCGCGGACUUCCGCGCAAAUGUUGAACAUGUUCUUUCUUUGCGCGGAACAAUUUCAGCGGCGGAAUCGUUCCGCAGUGUGAACGGGUCUCGCAGAAACCCAUUCACACUGAUGUUUAUGUUCACAGCACGUAAUUCCGCGGGAAUUACGUAGUGUGAACAUACCCAAUUACUGAUCACUACACUGUAGGUGACCUCAAUGCUUUCACUACCUCAAUGCUAAAGAUCCGUCGUGCAGUACCGAUCCCUUUCGCACGUACGCGCGCGCCCACAUCCUUCCCAUAGUGGUCGCCUCCGUCUGGCCACGCUUAUCGCCCUACAAAAACAACAAGAUUUGAUCGGCAGCUCAAAGGACAAAGGAUUAAACUAAUAUUCUAGAGGAACCCAAUCCGUCAACUUCAGACUGAAACCAAAACCUUAAGAACUCUUCCAGCAGAGCGGAGGAAUGUUCUUAAGAAAGAACUGAUUCAUAGCUUGGACUAUAUUUUUCCAGUCAGCCAUUAUAUACGGCGGAGCCGCCUGGAACCUCCGGCCUCGCUGCCACCACAGACAUCACUUUCAUUCUUCUCCAUCCCCCCCCCCCCCCUCCCCAAAAAAUCU